CCUACGGGUGGCAGCAGUGAGGAAUAUUGGUCAAUGGGCGAGAGCCUGAACCAGCCAAGUCGCGUGAGGGAAGACGGUCCUACGGAUUGUAAACCUCUUUUGUCAGGGAGCAAGGAGCGCCACGAGUGGGGCGGCGAGAGUACCUGAAGAAAAAGCAUCGGCUAACUCCGUGCCAGCAGCCGCGGUAAUACGGAGGAUGCGAGCGUUAUUCGGAUUUAUUGGGGUUAAAGGGUGCGCAGGCGGAUGCGGCAAGUCAGCGGUAAAAUUGCGGGGCUCAACCUCGCCGCGCCGUUGAAACUGCUCUUCUAGAGUUGGCGAGACGUCUGCGGACUGCGUGUUGUAGCGG
rnacentral:rRNA from 1 species